rnacentral:rRNA from 1 species
GGGGGCAGUUAAGCGCGCUUCGGCCAGAGUAGUACUGAGAUGGGUGACCUCUCGAGAAGUCCUGGUGUUGCACCCU